rnacentral:rRNA from 1 species
CCUACGGGAGACAGCAGUAGGGAAUCUUCCACAAUGGGCGAAAGCCUGAUGGAGCAACGCCGCGUGGGUGAAGAAGGUCUUCGGAUCGUAAAACUCUGUUGUUAGAGAAGAAAGUGCGUGAGAGUAACUGUUCACGUUUCGACGGUAUCUAACCAGAAAGCCACGGCUAACUACGUGCCAGCAGCCGCGGUAAUACGUAGGUGGCAAGCGUUAUCCGGAUUUAUUGGGCGUAAAGGGAACGCAGGCGGUCUUUUAAGUCUGAUGUGAAAGCCUUCGGCUUAACCGGAGUAGUGCAUUGGAAACUGGGAGACUUGAGUGCAGAAGAGGAGAGUGGAACUCCAUGUGUAGCGGUGAAAUGCGUAGAUAUAUGGAAGAACACCAGUGGCGAAGGCGGCUCUCUGGUCUGUAACUGACGCUGAGGUUCGAAAGCGUGGGUAGCAAACAGGAUUAGAUACCCCUGUAGUC